UGCCAGCAGCCGCGGUAAUACAGAGGGUGCAAGCGUUAAUCGGAAUUACUGGGCGUAAAGCGUACGUAGGUGGCUAAAUUAGUCAGGUGUGAAAUCCCCGGGCCUAACCUGGGAACUGCGCUUGAUACUGUUUAGCUAGAGUACAGGAGAGGAAAGUAGAAUUUCCGGUGUAGCGGUGAAAUGCGUAGAUAUCGGAAGGAAUACCAGUGGCGAAGGCGGCUUUCUGGACUGAUACUGACACUGAGGUACGAAAGCGUGGGGAGCAAACAGGAUUAGAUA
rnacentral:rRNA from 1 species